rnacentral:lncRNA from 1 species
UUAUUGUCCCUCCCCUGGCCACACCCCUUCAGACAUGCGUAGUGCUCCCCUUGGUCCAGCGCGGGAAGCUCCCUCGUGAGUGUCCGAAACUAUUAGCUCACUCACUGCCUCAUGUGAAGAUUAACUCUUAAGUACUCCACAACUACACGCUUUUGAAGCUGGCAUUGGCAUAGCGUUAGUUCUGUGCAGGGCGGACGCAGCAGGACAGAAUCUCCCUGGGCAUCUUUUCGGAGCAUCAAUUUUACUGCAAAAUUUUGAAAAAACAAAUUUAAUUGAUUUCCAAG